rnacentral:tRNA from 1 species
GGGGGAAUGGCGGAAUUGGUAGACGCAUCGGCCUUAAAAGCCGAAGUCCUCACGGACGUCCGGGUUCGAUUCCCGGUUCCCUCACCA